GGGAAGUUGGCUCAGUGGUAGAGUGCUUGCCUUGCAUGCAUGAGGCCCUGG
rnacentral:tRNA from 1 species